UUUCUUUUAUCAGUGCUGCUUGUAUGGCUUCAGUGGAAGGUGAUUCACUUAUUCCUGUUGUGAACUGAUGUAUGAGAGUGGGUUGGUGUCAAUGGAAGGUCUACACUACUGAGGAACUAAACCAAUACUCUAAACUGACCUGAACACGUGUUACAUAGACUGUCUUCUAAAUCAUGACAUUUAUAAAGGAGAAGGCUCCCAGGUAAGAUUAUAGACAUGGUUCAACAUGCUAGCUUGAGAAAUGGGUAUGUUUAAAAAGUGACAAUACAUGUGUGACCUAAGGAAACCUCUUGGCAUAGAACAUCAUUCCAGUUUGUAAUCCUGUAAACACAAGCCUAUGUACCUUACAAAAGCAUUGCUUAUAUAUUGGUGCAGUUCCCCAAGUGUUUACUGUAUCAUUACCUUUGAAUGCCAUUAAUUUUUCCAGCCAGAGUUCCAUCUGGGAUGCUAAGCCAAUUUUCAUAAAAAUCCAAGGUUAGUAAGCUUCCAUCGAUGUUAAUAAUAAAAUCCUUUUUUAUUGAAAAUAAAACAAAAAUAGUAAUGGUCAAUGUACAUUGUAGAAAGUACUUGAAAAACAUUUUUGUUUAAAAUUAGCAGUUUAGACCAGUGAUUCUCAACUUGUGGGUCAUAAUCAAUACGGGGUCACAUAUAUUUUUCGUAUCAGAUAUUCCAUCCAUUUUUCUUUAUAAUCAAAUCAGGAGCAAAAUUUGAAUUAUGAAGAGAAGCAAAAUGAAGUAAUGGUUAAGAGUCACAAAGCCAUGAGAAAAUAUAUUAGUGUUACAGGAUUAGGGAGGCUGAGAAUCAUUAGUUGAGAUCAUGCAGGAUCUUAUUUUUCUUCUUCCCUAAGACUAGAAUCAAUGAAGCAGAGUCCUAGUUGCUAUAGCAAUGAAGUAAACCUACCAUCUGUUCAAAUUGCCUCUCCUGGCUUCUAGACUACAACACUCCUUGCAAUCAUAGAUCUCCACUCCACUUCCCAGCUUAUGUAGUCCUGGCUGACCCAAACUCACAGAGAUCCUCCUCCUUCAUCUUCCCAGUGUCGGGAUUACACACAUGUGCCACCAUGACUAGAAUGUCUCUCCUUGAAAUCUGGAUAUGUUUUACAUGUUAAUGUUGGUGUUGUACAUACAGUAUACUUAAAGACUGCAAUUUGGAGAUUUUCUUGUUUAUGAAGCUUUCUCUGGAGCCUUUCCCUAUUUUUAACAUGCCUGCCUGUUCACACGGAUUUGUAGAUGUCCUACCACAUGAGUUCCUUCCCCAUUACUAAAUCACAUGCCUGAGAAUCAACUUAAUGAAGUGGUGUAUGUUGGCCAAAAAUUGGAGGCCACAGUCCACCAUGGCAGGUUGAGCAGCUGUCUAUAUUUUAUCCUCUCUGAGAGUGCAGAAAGCAAUGAAUACUUAUGCUCCACCCCCUUUCUCUUUAUAUACAGUCAAGGCCUAUUGAUUGAUCAGUGCUGUUCACUGUUAAGAUUUAUUGUCCAACUAGCCUGACCCCAGUAAUCUCUCAGGGUAUCCAGAAGGUUAUGUAAUCAAGGUAUGGUACAUUUCUUCAGGCUCUUCUUUUUUUGUUUUUCUUUGUGGGUUUUUUUUUUUUUUUUUUUUUUGAGACAGUGUCUCACUCUGGGCUGAAGUUGGUCUUCACCUUGACUUAUUCUGUGCCUCCAGGUUGUUAGAAUUACAGGGCCUAACCACCACAUUUGCCUGGAAAUCUCCACAGACCUAAAUCUAUUUGUUUCUUGGUGAUCAAAAAGAGAAUGUAACAAUGGUCAAGCUAGGCCCAAUGUCUUUGCUCCCUUCCUACUGCCUGCUGAUUGGAAUGUAGAAGUCUCAGCUAUCUCUCUAGUACCAUGGCUUCCUGUGUUCCCACCCACCCCAUGACAAUAAUAGACUAGACCCCUAAAUAUGUUAAGCCAGUCCCAAUUAAAACUUUUCCUCUGUAAGAGUUGUCAUGGUCACGGUGUCUCUUCAUAGCAAUAGAACAUUGACUACGACACUGGUACUAUGUCUGAUCUUAAACAACUGUAAACUCAACCAGGCAUGAUAUUAGUAGAACAUCCAGGUGAGAUGAUGUUGGGGCUACAAGCUCACAGAGAACCCCAACCAACAGAUACCUGUAAGGUCUCAUGGGCAGGUCUCUGUUUUCUUUAGUGUCCUCUUUCCGUCUAUCUUACUGAUUUUUAUUCUCCCCAUGAACAGUGUAAAAAUACAUUGCCUUUACUUCUAAGUCAUCCUUAGCGUUCUCUUUAAGUCCUGAGUUUAUGGGACAAGGUUUCUUACUAGAAUCUUCACCUUUCGUGUAUUUCUAAUCUCUGGACACUUGGGCCCUGAAGAACAAAAUAAGAACCAGGUUCUCAGAGACUCAAAGAGAAGAAAUGAAGUCCAUGAACUCAGUGAAAAUUUUUACCAACCCAAAGUCAAACUGAUUCAAAUCAACGCUGGCCCACUAAAUUAUCAGAGCAUCUUCAAGAGAGAAAGCUCCCAGGACUGGGGACAAAAGUUGAAACUUGAACUUUUAAUCUCAUUUCAGAUGAAAGUGAUGUGGUCUGGGAGUCAGAGGCAGGAGGGUCUCUAGGUUGUGUUAAGUCUGAGCUGUGCAUUGAGAGCCUUUCUCAAAAGAACAGCCAUAAGGAAGUGACAUGGAAACAAGCUGUCAUCUCAGGGGAUGUGACUUUACAUGAUUUGGUAACUUAAUCCUAGGAAAAGAAACUCAGAUAUGGGGUGACAGUCUAAUGGCAGAACCUUGUCUAGCACAGACAAAUAGAAGGACAGGAAGGAGGGAGGAAGAAGGGCCAAAGAUGAGCGAUGCUACAGGCAUUCAAAUGUUAAGAAUGCUAUCCCUAAGAACUGGAGGAAAGCUAGCUUUCCCACACUGUAGCAGUGCUUACAGUUUACUGCAGUUCAGAAACUGGAGAUGAUUGUCCCUGUGUUGCUGUACAGAAAGGACUGGAACAGUAGCAAAGACAGUGGCUGUGCCCAUUUCAUGGGUGCUUUAGAGCAAGACACCUUCUGGAGAGGUUUCCAAAUAAAAAUGUCCAAGUGGUACUUCUGAGCUUAAAAUUUCAUAGCUUAGGUAAAAAUCAGAUUUUUCUUAUUUCCAAAUGAAGUUUUGAAGGUUUUCAAGUUGUUCCUCUAGAGGGUGCCCAAGUGCUUGAAUAUUCUGACAGUGAACCUCCACAGGCAUCUCCCCAGUGGUCAAGGUUUAAUAUGGAAACAGUUAGUUAUUUUUACACAGUUCUUUUUGCUUGUGUGUGUGAGCUGUCCCUUGUCGACAAUAGCUUUCUGUUUUCCUCAAUGAGGAGUGUUGCUCAUUUGUGAGCCUUCAUUAACUCAAAAUGAAAUGGUUAAAAAUAUUUAUCCUGUUAGAAUAGGCUGCAUCUUUUACACAACCCAUUAAAAAACAACAACAACGAUAACAAGACUCUGGCUUUUGAGAUGACGUAUACUAAUUCACAUUGUUUACCUAGCUGUAGUGCUAUAUGAACACUACUUAAAAGGCAAAAUAAACUUGGUUUGUAUUUAAAAAAAAAGGUUUCAGAGCUGCAGAGGAACAGCCUUGAAAGAUGCUACUGACAUGGAGACUCCAGGCUCAGCCUCAGCCCAUGAAGAAGAUAACAGAACACAGAAAGCUUCCUGUUCCUGCUAGCGCUGUGGCAGCGCAUACGUGCCCUCCUGAUGCAUGGGGAACUGAGAUAGGAGAGCCUGGAGUUUGAGGCUACAAAGGGAGGCACUGUGCUUUCUCAUUACCAAGCCUAGUAUAGGACAAAUCAGCACAACUCAGAAAUCGGUCUCUCCCGCUCUUGCAGUUGCAAAGGGAAAUGGGAUGUAGCUUUGGACAGUUCUCAAGUUCCAUCUGGGUCUCCCCUCUCCAGCUCUGAGUCCAGUCUCGCCAGUUUGUUGGAUGUGAAUUCUAUGAUCCCAAAUUAAUGUGCAAAAUCUUUUUUCCUAUAAUUCAGCUUUUCAUCAAAGCCACUAAGAACCAGAAGCUAAACAAAAAGCCACAGCUUCUUAAGAACUUUUUACUUUUGUUUUCAAGGGCCCAGGUCACCAUCAAGGAGACUAAAGCUGGGGUAGGAAGAGCAUGAGAAUAUCUCAGAGGUAUUGGGCCUGUACUGGGAAGAUCUUUUCAGAUACCCCUGGAAUGCUCUGAACUCACAGGCAGGGGAUUUAGAGGUGGGACUCUUUAUCCUAGUAGCUAGAUGUGGAAAUGGCACUUCCAAGUCCUAUUUGGGGAUGGCUUGCCCAGGGAGCUUGGCUCAGUGGAGUGUAGAAUGAAUGCCAACAUUAACAAUAAUUCUGGUCCAAGUGCAAAUGUCUGCAUCAAGUCCUCAAAAAAAUCCUUUUAUGGUCCAUUUGUUUGGACACACCCUGGUUCCAAACCUUGUUUUGCCUCAGGACCCACAUUCUUAGAAACAUGCUAGCUUGCUGAAGACAUGGACUGCUUCUGCCUUCUGUCCUGCAACACUGACUAGAUGCUAAGAUUCAUUCUUAGGCACUGUGACAUUUGAGCCUUUGCAAAAUGUAUUAUGUUUAUUCAUGCCCCCCCUCUCUUUGUGUGUGUGUGUGUGUGUGUGUGUGUGUGUGUGCGUGCACUUGUGCACAUGAAUUCCACUGUUCACUGUGUGGCAUCAGUGGAUAACUUUUGGGAGGAGUUCUGUCCUUUGGACCUGAUUCCAGAGAUCACACUCAAGUCACCAAGCUUGGUAGCAAGUUCCUUUACCUGAUGAGCUUGUUGGUCCAGUCUGAGCUUUCACUGAACCCUUAGCCCCUCUUUCCCCAUCAGCCACAGGAAAGCAAUCUCUGCAGUGUUACUUUUGGUCCUACGUGACUUUCUUAGGUCCCAACAACUAAACAUUUUACUUAGAAUUCAACAUAGUAACUAAAUUGCUAAAUUUAAUAGGAAUUACAGAAUGUGGGCUUUUCUGAUUCUGUAUUGCUUUCCAUAUUCUUAAUUAUACAGUAUAGAAGACAGUAAAACAGUCAUCAUUAGGACCUAUUUGGCUUCCUUAAGAUAUAUUUUCAGGAAGAUUUUACAAAGUUUGGAUGUUUAAUUUGCUCCUCAAAUACCAAUUUUCAAACUAGGAAGUGAGUGUUCUAUGAACUUCACAUGAGAACUUACGCAAUAGAUUUUUUUAAAAACGCUUUUCAGUCAUUUGAAAGCUGUUUCUACCUCCUUCUUUGCAGGUCUCCGAAUUCCUGGGAGGCCUUUUGUUUUCCUAAUGAGAAAUCAGACUGUGGUGGAGCAGUGGAUGCACUGACACUGUCUCUCCUCUUGCUGUGCCUUCCAUGCAGAUGCCUGAAGCCUUGGAGGAGCUGAAUGGUUCAGUUUCCUUGUAUCUUCCAGAGGAGAAAAAAACACCAUCCAGAAUCCUUGUGACAAGCACUUGUUUGCGAUUGAGCAAGUGUCAUGUUGCCUGUCAUCUGAAAAGCAGCAGAGAAGCAUCAUCAUUGUGUCCCCACUCUAAAAACAAAAUGCAAGUCUCUGGGCAUGCUGGUGGCAUCCCACACUCCCCCUGACCUGCUGGCUCAUCCUGCUGCAUAGAACAUCAUCUGCACUUGGAACUCCUCGGUCUCCACCAAUGGUUCUUCAAGUCUCAAGUCAUGUACAUUUUCGGAUCGUUGAGCUCCUCUGCAGGAUACUGGUGCUACUAAGGCUGGAGACGGUAAGACAUGUGCACAUCCAGUGUAUCCUCAAAGGCUUCAGUCCUUCAUGAGUUCUAGGUUACCUUCAUGGUUCUCAUUUUUCUUGCUAUUCUCUAUGACCAGAGAUCUACUCAGACUGCCUUUCUAGCAGGUCCUCAAUGAGGUUCAGGCUCAAAACAAAAACCAAGAAUAGUGACUGAUGGUGCUGGAGGAUAGCAAACAUCCAAUAGCCAGCAACAUAGAAACUUCACAGAACUCUGUGGACUGUGUGGAUGACAGUGCACAUCCUUUAAAUCUAAUCUCCAGGUUUCAGUGACUUCUGUUUGCUACAGUGAAUGGUGUGAGCCUUGUCUAGUUUACUACCAGGCACAGAUGGAGUUCUUAGAACUCCUUUUGAAAACAUUUAGACAUGUGUAGAAAUCAGGAAGUAAAGAUUGAGUGUUUUGAAAGACACGAGUCCUGCCAAUGUAACUAUGCAAGCCCAGUGUUAACUUCCUCCAUGACGUUCACCUUUCCUUCAUGUUUACCUUCGCCUUCCUUUGAAGAAUGACCUACAGCAAGUAACUUGCCUUCCAAAGCCUCUGACUUACAGAUCCAUAAAGAAAACUAUGAAUUUUAGAUUUCAAGUACUAAGUAUUAGUCAGAGUUCUUCAAAGAAAUAAAAGAAAUAGAACCAAU